ACUCGGAGGACGAGGAUUUGUGAACAGUAUAACCAGAGGUGGUUAGCGGUGGUCGCUGGAGGUGGAAGGCGGUGGCUGGAGGUGGUCGCAGGUGGACCAGGAGAACAACGUGGACUCGGAGGACGAGGAUUUGUGCUCGGUAUAACCGGAGG
rnacentral:lncRNA from 1 species